rnacentral:rRNA from 1 species
CGCCAGCCUGACGGAGCCAGACCGCGUGGGGGAGGAAGGCCCUUGGGUUGUAAACCCCUUUUCUCAGGGAAGAAACCUGACGGUACCUGAGGAAAAAGCCUCGGCUAACUCCGUGCCAGCAGCCGCGGUAAUACGGAGGAGGCAAGCGUUAUCCGGAAUUAUUGGGCGUAAAGCGUCCGCAGGGGGCUCACCAAGUCUGCUGUCAAAGGUCGGAGCUCAACUCCGGUUCGGCAGUGGAAACUGGUGGGCUAGAGGGCGACAGGGGUAGAGGGAAUUCCCAGUGUAGCGGUGAAAUGCGUAGAGAUUGGGAAGAACACCGGUGGCGAAAGCGCUCUACUGGGCCGCGCCUGACCCUGAGGGACGAAAGCCAGGGGAGCG